rnacentral:rRNA from 1 species
UACGGGGGGGGCAAGCGUUGUUCGGAAUUACUGGGCGUAAAGGGUUCGUAGGUGGCCAACUAAGUCAGACGUGAAAUCCCUCAGCUCAACUGGGGAACUGCGUCUGAUACUGGUUGGCUUGAGUGCAGGAGAGGAACGCGGAAUUCCAGGUGUAGCGGUGAAAUGCGUAGAUAUCUGGAGGAACACCGGUGGCGAAGGCGGCAUUCUGGACCGAAACUGACACUGAGGCGCGAAAGCCAGGGGAGCAAACGGG